rnacentral:rRNA from 1 species
UACAGAGGUCUCAAGCGUUGUUCGGAUUCAUUGGGCGUAAAGGGUGUGUAGGUGGCGCGCUAAGUCGGGUGUGAAAUUUCGGAGCUUAACUCCGAAACUGCAUUCGAUACUGGCGUGCUUGAGGACUGGAGAGGAGACUGGAAUUCAUGGUGUAGCAGUGAAAUGCGUAGAGAUCAUGAGGAAGACCAGUGGCGAAGGCGGGUCUCUGGACAGUUCCUGACGCUGAGGCACGAAGGCCAGGGGAGCAAACAGG